CUCACGGAGGNNGUGUNUUGGGGGNAAANCGCNGAUGCAGCGACGCCNCGUGAGGGAUGACGGCCUUCGGGUUGUAAACCUCUUUCAGCAGGGACGAAGCGCAAGUGACGGUACCUGCAGAAGAAGCACCGGCUAACUACGUGCCAGCAGCCGCGGUAAUACGUAGGGUGCAAGCGUUGUCCGGAAUUACUGGGCGUAAAGAGUUCGUAGGCGGUUUGUCGCGUCGUUUGUGAAAACCAGCAGCUCAACUGCUGGCUUGCAGGCGAUACGGGCAGACUUGAGUACUGCAGGGGAGACUGGAAUUCCUGGUGUAGCGGUGAAAUGCGCAGAUAUCAGGAGGAACACCGGUGGCGAAGGCGGGUCUCUGGGCAGUAACUGACGCUGAGGAACGAAAGCGUGGGUAGCGAACAGGAUUAGAUACCCUGGUAGUCCACGCCGUAAACGGUGGGCGCUAGGUGUGGGUUCCUUCCACGGAAUCCGUGCCGUAGCUAACGCAUUAAGCGCCCCGCCUGGGGAGUACGGCCGCAAGGCUAANNNGNAAAANUUUUUUUNNGGGGGGG
rnacentral:rRNA from 1 species